rnacentral:rRNA from 1 species
CAACUGCCUGCAUGAAGCUGGAAUUGCUAGUAAUCGCGGAUCAGCAAGCCGCGGUGAAUACGUUCCCGGGCCUUGUACACACCGCCCGUCACACCAUGAGAGUCGGGAACACCCGAAGUCCGUAGUCUAACCGCAAGGGGGGCGCGGCCGAAGGUGGGUCCGGUAAUUGGGGUGAAGUCGUAACAAGGUAAC